rnacentral:rRNA from 1 species
AACGAACGCUGGCGGCAUGCCUAACACAUGCAAGUCGAACGAGACCUUCGGGUCUAGUGGCGCACGGGUGCGUAAGGCGUGGGAAUCUGCCCUUGGGUUCGGCAUAACAGUGAGAAAUUACUGCUAAUACCGGAUGAUGUCUUCGGCCCAAAGAUUUAUCGAACAGGGAUGAGCCCGCGUAGGAUUAGCUGGUUGGUAGGGUAAUGGACUAAUAAGGCGUGGAUCCUUAGCUGGUCUGAGAGGAUGGUCAGCGACACUGGGACUGAGACACGGCCCAGACUCCUGCGGGAGGCGGGAGAGCGUGAUAGUGGACAGUGGGCGCAAGGCUGAACCAGCAAGGCCGGUUAAGUGAUGAAGGCCUGAGGGAACAAAAGCUCUUUUACCCGGGAUGAUAAUGACGGUACCGGGAGAAUAAGCUCCGGCUAACUCCGUG